AAGCCGGGAAGGGAUAAACGCUGAAGGCAUCUAAGCGUGAAGCCCCCCUCAAGAUGAGAUAUCCCAUGACGUCAAGUCAGUAAGACCCCUUGAAGACGACGAGGUAGAUAGGGCAGAGGUGGAAGUGUGGUAACACAUGGAGCUGACUGUUACUAAUAGGUCGAGGGCAUAACCAA
rnacentral:rRNA from 1 species